rnacentral:rRNA from 1 species
UACGUAGGUGGCGAGCGUUGUCCGGAUUUACUGGGCGUAAAGAGCGCGCAGGCGGUCGUUCAAGUCGCGUGUGAAAGCCCCCGGCUCAACUGGGGAGGGUCACGCGAUACUGAUCGACUCGAAGGCAGGAGAGGGUAGUGGAAUUCCCGGUGUAGUGGUGAAAUGCGUAGAUAUUGGGAGGAACACCAGUGGCGAAGGCGGGUCUCUGGGCCGAUACUGACGCUGAGGAGCGAAAGCGUGGGGAGCGAACAGG